UACGUAGGGUGCAAGCGUUAAUCGGAAUUACUGGGCGUAAAGCGUGCGCAGGCGGUUGUGCAAGACCGAUGUGAAAUCCCCGGGCUUAACCUGGGAAUGGCAUUGGUGACUGCACGGCUAGAGUGUGUCAGAGGGGGGUAGAAUUCCACGUGUAGCAGUGAAAUGCGUAGAGAUGUGGAGGAAUACCGAUGGCUAAGGCAGCCCCUGGGAUAACACUGACGCUCAUGCACGAAAGCGUGGGGAGCAAACGGG
rnacentral:rRNA from 1 species